AGGUAACAAAAUCUAAUCAAUAUCAUGACCAUGUAAUUGAACUUAGACAAGGUAACAUGGUGAGACGGUAUUAACUUCGACCCGUUAAUCUUAACAUACAGGCUCGCGGCAACAAGGCCUCGCAUGCGUCCCUAUCGGCUCAAUGAUGUCAUCAUGCUUCUGUGAGAUACGGAUAAGACCCGACCGAAGCAUCGGCUCUUAAAGGUAGCGUGCUGACAUCAGAGGCCUGACGGUUAGCAAUACGAGGGGCAAGGGUAAAGAUCUAUCAAACCUAACAUAUAUAAAGCAGUUAAAGCAUGCAGAGUCUACCAACCGAUACGAUCUGAUAACUGUGAACGUUUAAACAAGGCAAGGGAGCCGAUGAAGCCAACCUAACAAGAUCUAAGCCGUUCGAUAACUUGAGCAACAUCGAAAACAAGCAGAAUAUUGGAUAAAGCCUAGAAAGUUCUACUUGCAAUUUAAGAUAACUCAGUAACUAGCCACACGACAAUAUCAGAAUAUAAGAAUUAACUUAGAAAGUUGUAAUAGAGGUCGUGAUGACCGGGUGACGGUACUUACAAGCUCGUCCGAGAUUGAAGCUGAUGCAGCCUAAGGACCAACCCUCCUAUAGGGUCAAAUCUAAAAAUAUGAAUGGUUGGUCUGGUUACAUCUCCUCACUUAGUCACUGGUGAAAAACAUGCCCUUUUUUCUAAAUGUGGCUGGAAAGGUUUGUGAUAUGUGGAUCCACCGUCGGCCCAACAACAAAUAUGCUGAUCUUUGCAAAACAAUUGUCUCAAAGCUAAAGGCUUUCUCUUGGAAAAAUUUUACUUGGAUCUGUACAUCACCUAAUGCACCAGAUGUCAAUCAAACUGAGAGCCGGUGAAAUUAUCAGGACUGGUGGCCCAUGGCGGUUUAUUCAGCUCUGGCUUACUGUCUACAUAGCCAAAGGCCAAGAAAUAAAUCUCUUUUACUAUGGUUUUGGGGAAAAUGCAACAACCUGGUGUGCAUAUGUAGAUAUCGACCAGUUCCAAUUUCCAGAGAAUUCCAUCUUUUCAAAGUCUUGCGCAACUGAACUGUUCAGAUUAUUUUUCAAAACAUAUGCAACAACUUGUGUCUUCUCAACUGGUUUUGCCAAUGGUCGAUCUCACACUCCUUAUGAAUUCUAUCAUCCCUCGGCCUUUGCUCGCCAGCUUGGAUUUGGUCAGGUCCCAAUUGAUUUAUUUUUCAUUGGUAAAGUUCAGAAUAUGAAAGCCUAAGUGCUCUGACUUCACUUCUAGUCCCAUUUGACCUGCAAACACUGGACUGGAAUUGAAGUUUCAUCUGAAUCCUUUGACCAGUGGUGGAACGAAUGGAAGAGUCAUUUGAUGAACCGAUCAGUAGCUCAUUACUGCAAAAGGCUAUACCCUGAUUAUGAACCAUCUAAUGGAGAGGUAACUUCUCGACUUAUUGCUUUAUUUCCCUUCUUUCCCUCUAACUUGUGAUAAUAUUCCAUAUUCUCGGCAGGAAAAUGAAGCUGAUGUUCCCCUUGUGAGUCUAAGUGGCAUGCCGAUUGCUUAUGACCCUCGUAUUGCAGAACCAAUUUUCGGAGCCGAUGCCCCCCAAGGAUCUGAUUUGCCCAAGGCCCCUGCAGCAAGUAAACGCAAGCCAUCAUCCAAGCUACUAAGCAAGAAGAAGAAGAAGAAGAAAGCCACUAUACCACCAAUUGAAUCUCCAUUGGCUUCAGAGGCAAAUUCACCACUUCCUAAUAUCCAAGAGCCAGCAGCCGAUAGAGCUCCAGAAGAAUCAGCAGCAACUCAGGAGGAAACACACCUCCAGUUGAAGAGAAUGGUCUCAUCGGGACAGUAAUACUAAUUCUGCUUUACAAUUUUCUCCUUGUUUUGCACGGAUGGACUCUUUCAACCAGCUGUUAUGGAAAGCAUCGGUGUCAGCAUCGGCUCCUCCAUUGGACGUACAAAUCUCAGAAGAGCAUCCUGUGCCAAGCCGACAACAAUCACCGAUCCAAGAGAUUCCCUUGGAUGAACCAUCAGCUGAAGAAAGGACUACUCAGCCAGAAACAUCUCCAUCAGCUCCACAAUCGCCAAAAAUCAUAACCGAUGAGGAAGACCCUGAACGCGAUAUCCAACAACAAGAAAUCCCUGUUCAGGUAUGCAAAUUGUCUGCGCUUGUUAAAAUAUUUAACUCUUGUGCUAACAAAUUUUCUCCACAGGCUGCCAAUCCCUCAAUGUCAGAUCUCUUCUCAUUCAGCAUAGAAAAUUCGCAGACGAGGAGGAUACUAGCACAAGACAUUCAAUGUAGAACUAUACAAACAUCAGGGAUCAGCUAUCAGCUUUUCUGCAAUUGUUGCGUCACAACACAUCUGUGUUGCUAGAAAAUGUUGAGCCGAUCCAAAGGUUAUUCAAGCAGAUCGGGACCCACUUCAUCGAUGAAUUAAUGGCAUCAUUGACUCCUGCGGCCUUCAUUGAAUCGCAUUAUUCUGAAGUCCAGAGAGCCAAAAAGCGCAUAGCCGAUAGGCAAGCUAAUCGUCAGGCUAGUGCUCAGUUGGACUCUGUCAAAUUGAAGACCAAAGAGUUGAAACAAGAAAUUGAUAGCCUUGAUGCCUCUUUCUCCUCAAAUGCGCAAAGUCAAAAGGCUUUGGAGACUAAAAGAGACCAGCUGAUGCUUGAACUUGACCUAGUGAACAAAGCAAUAGCAGAAGCUUAAGCUCAAUGAUUAUCCCAUUGCCAUCCAUGAGAAAAAAGAAAGAACUGGCCGACUCCAUCAACCAAGUGCGUCAUCAACAUCGGCAAGUUAAUGAUAUCCCAAGCUCUAACGAAGAAGACCUGCAGUUUAUAGCCGAUGUUGACCAGAUCCACCUGCGUGCAAUUGAGGCCAUUGAAAAGGUCUUGUAGAGAACAAUUAAUUCUAUUUUAAUCUCUAUCCUCAACUUGUGCACAAUUAUUUCACCCCUUCAAAGCGACCCUUCAAUGUUAUCUUUACUUUUCU